GGUAGCUCAGUGGAACUGUGAUCAACUCAGCAGUACCUGACGCCAGAGCAGAGACACAGCAAUCUAAGGGAGCUGGAACAGAUGGUGGUGACUUCCCAAUGGGCACACCUAACAGCAAGAAACUUUAUGGCAGCACAAUUGGCAAAAGAAUAAUGUGAAUAAUAUGUGGGCUGUUUUUCAUUGUGAGAUUCUUGUGUUCUCAUAUCAUGUCACAUCAGCAAGUGCCAUCUCCCUGUGCUACUCCCUGCUGGACUGGGCCGAUUUUAGCUUUCUGUAAUAGUAGAUGAAAGACGACUUCGGACGUAAGCAUCCUCGCUGCAGCACAAAACAGCAACCACGUGGAUAUGAUGGAUGGAUGAGAAAGGGCUUUGUUAUUUAUGGAAACUUAGGCAGAGCUCAAACUAUCCAAUUGUCUCUCUCCUCUUAAGAGAGCGACAAUUUAAAUACAAGCAAGGAAAGUCACUCUCACCCACACCACGGCAGUUUCCCUGGAUAAUUCAGAGUUUUCAAGGCACAAUAUGAACAGCAACUUGGGAGAAACAAUGCCCAAGUUGUGUUGUGAUUACUCAGAUCUGAGCAGCUGAGCAGGGAAGCCGGGCACUGGAAUGCUGUGCAGCAAUCAGCACUGUUGACUAAUCAGAAUCUGAGACACUGGAAGAUUCUAUUACCCCCUUCCACCACUGCCACGUGCACUCUCUAAAGCCUAGGGGAAGGAGAGGACAUCACUAUGAUGAGCUGUCACCUGGACCAGGUCCGAGGAAACUAGACUGGCCACAGUACUGCCAAUGAAAACACAUUAGGCCAAGUAAACCUGAAGCUCUCCAAAGCACACUCUCGCUGUUCUAUAAUCCAAUUGUGAAAGAAGGAAAGAAAAUCCAUUGUUCAGAAUAAAAUUUUAUAUUACU